rnacentral:rRNA from 1 species
GAUGAACGCUAGCUACAGGCUUAACACAUGCAAGUCGAGGGGCAGCAUGGUCUUAGCUUGCUAAGGCCGAUGGCGACCGGCGCACGGGUGAGUAACACGUAUCCAACCUGCCGUCUACUCUUGGACAGCCUUCUGAAAGGAAGAUUAAUACAAGAUGGCAUCAUGAGUCCGCAUGUUCACAUGAUUAAAGGUAUUCCGGUAGACGAUGGGGAUGCGUUCCAUUAGAUAGUAGGCGGGGUAACGGCCCACCUAGUCUUCGAUGGAUAGGGGUUCUGAGAGGAAGGUCCCCCACAUUGGAACUGAGACACGGUCCAAACUCCUACGGGAGGCAGCAGUGAGGAAUAUUGGUCAAUGGGCGAGAGCCUGAACCAGCCAAGUAGCGUGAAGGAUGACUGCCCUAUGGGUUGUAAACUUCUUUUAUAAAGGAAUAAAGUCGGGUAUGGAUACCCGUUUGCAUGUACUUUAUGAAUAAGGAUCGGCUAACUCCGUGCCAGCAGCCGCGGUAAUACGGAGGAUCCGAGCGUUAUCCGGAUUUAUUGGGUUUAAAGGGAGCGUAGAUGGAUGUUUAAGUCAGUUGUGAAAGUUUGCGGCUCAACCGUAAAAUUGCAGUUGAUACUGGAUAUCUUGAGUGCAGUUGAGGCAGGCGGAAUUCGUGGUGUAGCGGUGAAAUGCUUAGAUAUCACGAAGAACUCCGAUUGCGAAGGCAGCCUGCUAAGCUGCAACUGACAUUGAGGCUUGAAAGUGUGGGUAUCAAACAGGAUUAGAUACCCUGGUAGUCCACACGGUAAACGAUGAAUACUCGCUGUUUGCGAUAUACUGCAAGCGGCCAAGCGAAAGCGUUAAGUAUUCCACCUGGGGAGUACGCCGGCAACGGUGAAACUCAAAGGAAUUGACGGGGGCCCGCACAAGCGGAGGAACAUGUGGUUUAAUUCGAUGAUACGCGAGGAACCUUACCCGGGCUUAAAUUGCAGAUGAAUUACGGUGAAAGCCGUAAGCCGCAAGGCAUCUGUGAAGGUGCUGCAUGGUUGUCGUCAGCUCGUGCCGUGAGGUGUCGGCUUAAGUGCCAUAACGAGCGCAACCCUUGUUGUCAGUUACUAACAGGUUCCGCUGAGGACUCUGACAAGACUGCCAUCGUAAGAUGUGAGGAAGGUGGGGAUGACGUCAAAUCAGCACGGCCCUUACGUCCGGGGCUACACACGUGUUACAAUGGGGGGUACAGAGGGCCGCUACCACGCGAGUGGAUGCCAAUCCCCAAAACCUCUCUCAGUUCGGACUGGAGUCUGCAACCCGACUCCUCGAAAGCUGGAUUCGCUAGUAAUCGCGCAUCAGCCACGGCGCGGUAAUUACGUCCCCGGGCCU